GGCCCUUCCGGAGCUGUCCCGCCCACAUGCCCCAGGCUGGGAGGCUCCUCUUCAGGCGGGUCGCCAAGGAAGGGUGGCGCGGGAAAAUCGAAGGGGCAGGAGCUCUUGGAGGACAGACAGGAAAGUGCCCCAGUGGAGGACGACAAAGGGCAGCAGGGCCGCAAACCGAAACUUGAGGGUGGUGGCCGCAGGCCGGGUACAGCCGGGGUUGGGGGGGUUAGGUGCCAGCAGGAGGUGGGGUUGGGGGUCCGCAUGGAACCCAAGGCAAACCCUGCCUUUCCACAGACCGGAGCGUGGAAGGGCGCGGGAGCCGGUCCCUCCGAGAACACCCGCCAGUCUCUCGUACCGGGGCCAGCAGACAGGCUCUCCCCCAACCCCCGGGAGGCCCUUCCCCACGAGGAGCGCCUCCUACCGGCCGGGAACCAGUUCCGACUCCAUUAAACAGAGCCGAGCUCAGGGCCAUUUGACGUUAUUUUGGGUUUCUAUGGCAACAGAGACAGGCCUCUGAAGCUGCGUCUCAGUGAGGACCAGAGGAUCCAAGCCAGGGCCUCAGGCAGAAUGCGGGCGGACUGUAUGUGGCCCCCAACACUCCUUUCCUUUGAGAUGCUGAGGAGCGGAAUUGCCCAGCUGUUUGGAGUUUCAUGGUUUCACAUCUUACACUUCAGUCUUACUCCAUUUCAAGUUCAUUUUUGUGUAUGGUGUAAGG